rnacentral:rRNA from 1 species
CCACAAGGGGUGAAGCCUGCGGUUCAAUUGGAGUCAACGCCAGGAAACUUACCAGGAGAGACAGCAGAUUGAGGGUCAGGCUGAAGACCUUACCUGACGAGCUGAGAGGAGGUGCAUGGCCGUCGCCAGCUCGUGCCGUGAGGCGUCCUGUUAAGUCAGGCAACGAGCGAGACCCCUAUCAGUAAUUGCUAACUGCCCAGAGAUGGGCGGAGGCUAGUUACAGAGACUGCCGUUGAUAAAACGGAGGAAGGAAGGGGCCACGGCAGGUCAGUAUGCCCCGAAACUCCUGGGCCACACGCGGGCUGCAAUGGUAGGGACAAUAGGUUCCGACCUCGAAAGAGGAAGGCAAUCCCGAAACCCUACCUCAGUUGUGAUCGAGGAUUGAAACCCGUCCUCGUGAAUAUGGAAUCCCUAGUAACCGCGUGUCAUCACCGCGCGGUGAAUACGUCCCUGCUCCUUGU